ensembl:snRNA U2 U2 spliceosomal RNA
AUUGCUUCUCAGCCUUUUGGCUAAGAUCAAGUGUAGUCUCCAUUCUUUUUCUAUCCCUUCUCACUCUUACAUAAACUUUAUUAUAUUUUAUUCAUUAUUAAAGGACUGAUGAAUCACU